AUUCUUUUGUGCUGUAAGUUUCAGCAGUUGCUGAGACAAAACUUCAUUUUCUUUCCCCAAGAUACCAUAUCUAUGUCAUCCUGUUCUCUGCCUACUAGGAAGCAGCUUCUUAGCAUUUGACUUUAAAAAGGGAAGGCAAGCAAGAGAUGUUUCUGAGUGGUUGUGCUCUUUUGAUCGAUGAGAGAGGUGAGCCAGAGUGUGUUCCAGUGACCUCCUGCUAUAUAAAAGUUUGGCCUGCCUGACAGGACUUCUGGCUGCUGAGUAGCUGUGAGUCACGGCCUUUACUGCUUGGAUCCGAUGCGGAUUUUUACAUCAGACGCUGCGGAAACGAGGGACCAGGUGUCUCUCCCUCCAUCCCUUCCCAUGCUGCGUACAUCUGCUUCAGCCACAGAUGCUGCACUUAGGGGACACCGCCACCCCCCCGCAACCAUUUUGCUGAUGGUCUGGAGCACGAGAGCCAAGUUCAUUGCAAGGCAACUUGCCAUUUCUUCAUCAAACAUCACUGAAAAACAUCUCUAUUGGGUCACCUGUCAUGAAGCCUGCCUCAGCCUGUCAAGAAUCACAAGAAGAAAUUGGUGUCCUGCAGAAUGAACCAUCACACACAACCGAAGCCUUACCCUUCCGUGGGCAAUCUAACCAGGGGCACACGGCAGGCGGAGAGCUGGUCAAUAAGCAAACAGGGUGCCUGCCUUAUGAUGAGCAGCUCUGGAAGACAGUCAUUAAGCACUGUUAGUGCCAUCCUUUUGAGCAAAUGAGCCUCCUCCCCCUUGCUGGGCCUGGCAGGAUGGCAGCACGCAUUCAGCAGUUUCUUCUGAAGCAGCUCAUGAAAUAGGGCACCUUUCUCCUAUCAGGUGGGUAUAAUUUGGCAUGACUUCCUGUUCUGCUGGGCUUUGCAAGGGGUGAGAAGGGGUGCUGCUGCCUGCAGCAGAACUGGGCAGGGUGGUGCCCGGGGUGAAUCCAGUGUAGCUGGUGGAUCCCUGGGUGCAUGGGAAUCCAGUAUGGGGAGAGCUGACAUGCAGUAGAUCCACCCAGUCUGUGCUAUUAGACUAUUUACACUGACACACCAAUCUUUUUUUCUAGGGAUUAAUGAAGCACACUUGCUUUUUGGCUCCAUACUGUGGUAGUGCAUGCUCUCGCUCCUCAUGCCCUCGCACCUUUCAUAGGUGGCUCCCUCUGCAUUGCUUGGAAGCUGCUUGGGUUUCAAGCUGAAGUCAGGAGUGUCUGAAUCAGUAAUUUUCCCCAGAAAAUUUUUCUAUGGGACAACACGUGGGAUUUCAGGAUUCCUUGCUUUUUCCUGUCCUACUCAGUGCUGAGGAUGAGCUUCGUUGCUAACAUACACAGUAAGCAUAUGGGUUUAUACUGGUGGAUUGCCUCUCGUUCUCUGUAUUUUGCAGUGUGCACCUUGGCCGUGACAAAAACCUGUGGCUCAUCAGAGCACUUUAUCUAGAAGGUGCCUAUUGCCUUGGUUUUUCCCCUCACUGUCUCAUUACAGUUGCUGCAGGAGGCAAAACAAAAUAAUGCAGUUAUGCAGUUGUCGCAACGAGGGCAGUAAAGGCUAUGAAUCGUUCUCUGCACAAACUUGGUUUCUUGCUACCACUGAACACCCUAAGAAACACAAGAAACCAGCAAGAGCCUUUCUUUACAUUGAUCCUUCUGAUCAUACCUCAUCUGUCAUUCAUAUUCACCUCUUCACCACACCCUCUUCAUCCCAGCUCCUCAGACAUGGCCACAGCUUGGGUGCCCUUACGCAGGGUGACAAAGCAGAGUAACUCCUUGGCCCCUUGGUUUUAAGGGACCUUUGGUUUCAGAUCUGUGACCACUGAAGUCCCUCAGUGCCUCCUGGGCUCCAAGGACUUCAGAGUCACGCAGAGACAGGUGACAGGUUGUCUGCUCAUCUUUCUGAUACGCACUCCCACGUCUUUCGAGGCAGAAAAAGUCAAGUAUGUGGUGUGCUGGGACCUGAAACAUAUUGACUAUGAUUUAGUAAAAGAAUGUGGUUGGGAAAAGCUUAGGGAGGGAUGUACGCCCUGUCGUUCCUCGUCAGAUACUGGCUCUGAAAAAUCUCUCCUCUUUGUACGAUGCCUAUCUACACCCUUAACAAAGCUGUUCCUUCUAAGGCCUGUGACUCAGUGUUAAGUCUUUGUGAGAUUGGACUAUCUCUGUUUAAACAUAGCGGACACUAUUCAUUGCCCAGUGCCAUUUUUUUCCUGGCUAGAUUAACCCUCUUGUUAUAUAUGUGGUAAGAUCAAAUGUUGUGUUGGUUUAAUAUCUGAUAAAAGCUCUAUCACAGGAAUGUACCUUGUUUUUU